rnacentral:rRNA from 1 species
AAAUUGAAGAGUUUGAUCAUGGCUCAGAUUGAACGCUGGCGGCAGGCCUAACACAUGCAAGUCGAACGGUAACAGGAAGCAGCUUGCUGCUUUGCUGACGAGUGGCGGACGGGUGAGUAAUGUCUGGGAAACUGCCUGAUGGAGGGGGAUAACUACUGGAAACGGUGGCUAAUACCGCAUAACGUCGCAAGACCAAAGAGGGGGACCUUCGGGCCUCUUGCCAUCAGAUGUGCCCAGAUGGGAUUAGCUUGUUGGUGAGGUAACGGCUCACCAAGGCGACGAUCCCUAGCUGGUCUGAGAGGAUGACCAGCCACACUGGAACUGAGACACGGUCCAGACUCCUACGGGAGGCAGCAGUGGGGAAUAUUGCACAAUGGGCGCAAGCCUGAUGCAGCCAUGCCGCGUGUAUGAAGAAGGCCUUCGGGUUGUAAAGUACUUUCAGCGGGGAGGAAGGUGUUGUGGUUAAUAACCGCAGCAAUUGACGUUACCCGCAGAAGAAGCACCGGCUAACUCCGUGCCAGCAGCCGCGGUAAUACGGAGGGUGCAAGCGUUAAUCGGAAUUACUGGGCGUAAAGCGCACGCAGGCGGUCUGUCAAGUCGGAUGUGAAAUCCCCGGGCUCAACCUGGGAACUGCAUUCGAAACUGGCAGGCUUGAGUCUUGUAGAGGGGGGUAGAAUUCCAGGUGUAGCGGUGAAAUGCGUAGAGAUCUGGAGGAAUACCGGUGGCGAAGGCGGCCCCCUGGACAAAGACUGACGCUCAGGUGCGAAAGCGUGGGGAGCAAACAGGAUUAGAUACCCUGGUAGUCCACGCCGUAAACGAUGUCUACUUGGAGGUUGUGCCCUUGAGGCGUGGCUUCCGGAGCUAACGCGUUAAGUAGACCGCCUGGGGAGUACGGCCGCAAGGUUAAAACUCAAAUGAAUUGACGGGGGCCCGCACAAGCGGUGGAGCAUGUGGUUUAAUUCGAUGCAACGCGAAGAACCUUACCUGGUCUUGACAUCCACGGAAGUUUUCAGAGAUGGAUUUGUGCCUUCGGGAACCGUGAGACAGGUGCUGCAUGGCUGUCGUCAGCUCGUGUUGUGAAAUGUUGGGUUAAGUCCCGCAACGAGCGCAACCCUUAUCCUUUGUUGCCAGCGAUUCGGUCGGGAACUCAAAGGAGACUGCCAGUGAUAAACUGGAGGAAGGUGGGGAUGACGUCAAGUCAUCAUGGCCCUUACGACCAGGGCUACACACGUGCUACAAUGGCGCAUACAAAGAGAAGCGACCUCGCGAGAGCAAGCGGACCUCAUAAAGUGCGUCGUAGUCCGGAUUGGAGUCUGCAACUCGACUCCAUGAAGUCGGAAUCGCUAGUAAUCGUGGAUCAGAAUGCCACGGUGAAUACGUUCCCGGGCCUUGUACACACCGCCCGUCACACCAUGGGAGUGGGUUGCAAAAGAAGUAGGUAGCUUAACCUUCGGGAGGGCGCUUACCACUUUGUGAUUCAUGACUGGGGUGAAGUCGUAACAAGGUAACCGUAGGGGAACCUGCGGUUGGAUCACCUCCUUACCUUAAAGAA